AGAGUUUGAUCCUGGCUCAGGAUGAACGCUGGCGGCGUGCCUAAUACAUGCAAGUUGUGCGGUAACAGAGAGAGCUUGCUCUCUGCUGAUGAGCGGCGGACGGCAGAGUAACGCGUAGGAACAUACCCCAAACUGAGGGAUAACUGCUCGAAAGAGUAGCUAAUACCGCAUGUGGUCUUCGGAUUAAAGCUUCGGCGGUUUGGGAGUGGCCUGCGUCCGAUUAGCUAGUUGGUGAGGUAAAUUGCUCACCAAGGCGACGAUCGGUAGCUGGUCUGAGAGGAUGAUCAGCCUGACUGGAACUGAGAACGGUCCAGACUCCUACGGGAGGCAGCAGUAGGGAAUUUUCCACAAUGGGCGAAAGCCUGAUGGAGCAACGCCGCGUGCAGGAUGAAUGCCUUCGGGUUGUAAACUGCUUUUCUGUGUGAAGAAUAUGACGGUAACACAGGAAUAAGGGUCGGCUAACUACGUG
rnacentral:rRNA from 1 species